GCCUUAUAGUGGGGGAUAGCCUUUCGAAAGGAAGAUUAAUACCGCAUAAGAUUGUAGUAUCGCAUGAUAUAGCAAUUAAAGGAGCAAUCCGCUAUAAGAUGGACCCGCGUCGCAUUAGCUAGUUGGUGAGGUAAUGGCUCACCAAGGCGACGAUCCCUAGCUGGUCUGAGAGGAUGACCAGCCACACUGGAACUGAGACACGGUCCAGACUCCUACGGGAGGCAGCAUG
rnacentral:rRNA from 1 species